UACGAAGGGGGGCUAGCGUUGCUCGGAAUCACUGGGCGUAAAGCGCACGUAGGCGGAUUUUUAAGUCAGGGGGUGAAAUCCUGGAGCUCAACUCCAGAACUGCCUUUGAUACUGGGAAUCUCGAGUCCGGGAGAGGUGAGUGGAACUGCGAGUGUAGAGGUGAAAUUCGUAGAUAUUCGCAAGAACACCAGUGGCGAAGGCGGCUCACUGGCCCGGUACUGACGCUGAG
rnacentral:rRNA from 1 species